rnacentral:rRNA from 1 species
AGGACGAACGCUGGCGGCGUGCUUAACACAUGCAAGUCGAGCGGUAGGGCCUUUCGGGGUACACGAGCGGCGAACGGGUGAGUAACACGUGGGUGAUCUGCCCUGCACUUCGGGAUAAGCCUGGGAAACUGGGUCUAAUACCGGAUAUGACCUCCUAUCGCAUGGUGGGUGGUGGAAAGAUUUAUCGGUGCAGGAUGGGCCCGCGGCCUAUCAGCUUGUUGGUGGGGUAAUGGCCUACCAAGGCGACGACGGGUAGCCGACCUGAGAGGGUGACCGGCCACACUGGGACUGAGACACGGCCCAGACUCCUACGGGAGGCAGCAGUGGGAAUAUGCACAAUGGGCAAAGCCUGAUGCAGCGACGCCGCGUGAGGAUGACGGCUUCGGGUUGUAAACCUCUUUCAGCAGGACGAAGCGACAAGUGACGGUACCUGACAGAAGAACGCACCGGCUAACGUACGUAGCCAAGCAGCCGC